UGAUUGGCUUAUUUAUUUUUCAUUUUUGUUAUCUAUCAUACAAUUGGUUCUUAAUGUAACUCGGAUUUAUUCUACGAAAAAGAGAAUUUCCGAAGUGUACUUUCUGUUUCGAUUUCACGUUAUAUUUAUACUGCUGUUAACUGACGGAGUUCCAGGAGACUUGGUGCAUUCAUUCUUAGUUAACAAAUCACAUUGUAAAGGUUUUGGGCACACUCUGUAAUGUCACACCAGAUGUAUUAGAUACUGGUUGUUCAACAUCUACUAUGUCAAAGUUCACAUAAAACCUCAAGGAGUUAGCACACAGAUGGUUGAGCAGAAUAACUGAACAAAACAACAAAAAAAGAUUUUAACAUUCUGUAAUACAUGAACUAUUGAAAUUUUUCAUAGGCACUGCACAUAAAUGUAUAUGAAAAAUUAUAAACUUUUGAUGUCUUUAAUUAUAGGAACUAUUUAUAAGUUGUCUAGUAUAUAAUAAUGACAUGAAAAAAAUACCUAUUUUAAAAAUAUUUUUGUAAUAUUUAAAUUAUCCAUGAAAAUUUUCUUGAAGCUUUUUUUAAAAUUCCAUUGGAUAAAAGAGAUGGUAGGUAGAAAUUCUGCUUAGAUAAUAUGAAAACUAACUAAACAAAUAGUAUACAUGUAUACUACUUUUGGAAUAUGAUACCUACAUCUUUAUCGAAGCAUAAUUGAGUAUAACAAUAAAGUCAAUACCAUCGAUUGUUUGUAAAUAUUUAUGCUUAUAUUUCAAUAAUGAGUAAAAAUCAUUAUCAUUAAUUGAAACAACUUGCUCAGAAAUGCUUACCAAUACUAGAACUAAGGUGUGAAGGACAUAUUAUCCAUUACAUUUUGUAAAUUAUCAGAAUAUAUGUGACAUUAGCAAAAGGACUAUUUUAGUUUUUGAUUAUAUAAGCUUAAUACUUAA